GCAGCAGCCACAAUGAGUGGAGGUAAAGGAGGAGGAACACUUUCAGCUGCUGUGCGAGAAUUUUGCCACAUACCUUUUAAUUCAGUGACAGCCUGAAGCAGCGCACUUUGUUCUUUAGAAAUGUGGUGCAGCAUCUUCUCAUGUCAUUCCAGAAGAUCAGCUUGAAGCGACAACUUACGUUUAACAGGGUCAGAGUCCGCCGAGUCCAUUUUUGGGUGGAGUAUUCUGUCAAGGGGCGGAGAAAGAGCGGACUUGACAGCGGAGCUCCUUGCAGGCAAAGAGCGAACGGAGCCGGGAUGAGAAAAUGAGUUAAGAGAGAUAACACUCACAGUCACUGAAGAGGAUGGAGACUGAUGACGGCAGGGAUUCGGAGCUCCUGACAUGAAGGGAACAAUGUCUGAGCGGAGAACAGCCGCCUGACUGUGAGGACAUGAAGCUGCUCACUGGAAACUCUCCCUGCUGCUGCAGAAACAUGUGAGGAGUCCUCAGUGUUUAGAUCAGAGUCUGGACUCUUGUGGUGGUGGAGCAGGGCUGAAGAAACAUGCUGAACAUCUGGAUGGAUGUGAUGUGGAGCAGGACUGCUGAUGACCUCAGUGGAAAGACCCAAAGACUCUGGUCCUGAUGAAAGGUGGAGGAGGGCUGCAUCCAUCUGACACUGAGAGGGGAAACACUUAAACAUGAGAGCAGGACAAUGAUGUUUUCACCAAAUCUGAAGGAGAGCAUCAUCAUCUGAUGUGAUGAAUUCAAAGAGAAUAAAUGGAAUAAGCAUGAGAUGGUCUUCCUGGUUGGACUUUUAGCUUCAUGUGAGAGAUUUUACCUUAAAGAGAUAAACCUCUGUUACUCUGUUUAUUUUGCUUCUGCUGCAUUUUUGCAUGUCCUCAUCCACUAAAUAUAAAAUAGUGUA